AUUGGCUUCGGUUAGUUGCAAGUGAUGGUUACGUGGUCGUGCAGCCUUUCAGCCGUGUCUGCGUGAGCAGGUGUUGGCUGGCCGGUAAGCUUGCUUGCUGGUUAGUUGACAUGUUUCCUGAUGCCUUUAAACGGGUGUCGGGGGCGUACGGCACUUUUACUUUGAACAAAUUUGAGUGCUCAAAGCAGGCCCAUGUGCCUGAAAAGUCUUGCAUGGAAUAAUAUAAUAGGACUUCGGUUCUAUUUUGUUGGUUUCCGGAUCCGAAGUAAUGGUUAAGAGGAACAGACGGGGGCAUUUGUAUGGCGGCGUGAGAGGUGAAAUUCAGUGAUCGUCGCCAGACAAACUACAGCGAAAGCAUUUGCCAAGAAUGUUUUCAUUGAUCAGGAGCGAAAGUCAGAGGUUCGAAGACGAUCAGAUACCGUCCUAGUUCUGACCAUAAACGAUGCCAACUGACAAUCCGCGGCGGUUCUUUAAUUGGCCCCGCGGGCAGUCCCCGGGAAACCCUUAAGUCUUUGGGCUCCGGGGGAAGUAUGGUUGCAAAGCUGAAACUUAAAGGAAUUGACGGAAGGGCACCACCAGGAGUGGAGCCUGCGGCUUAAUUCGACUCAACACGGGAAAACUCACCCGGCCCGGACACUGUGAGGAUUGACAGAUUGAUAGCUCUUUCUUGAUUCGGUGGUUGGUGGUGCAUGGCCGUUCUUAGUUGGUGGAGCGAUUUGUCUGGUUAAUUCCGAUAACGAACGAGACUUUGGCCUACUAAUUAGUUUGCCUAUCCUCUGUGCUCGUGCAGGUCUCGAUUUCAGUUGCCUCCUCGAGGGGUGGUGGAGUCGUGGGCCGGCGGGUACGGCGUGGUGCUUACUUCUUAGAGGGACAAGCGGCGCAGCAAGUCGCACGAAAUUGAGCAAUAACAGGUCUGUGAUGCCCUUAGAUGUCCGGGGCCGCACGUGCGCUACAAUGACGGUGCCAGCGAGCAUGGAAACCUGGCCCGAAAGGGUUGGGCAAACUUUUCAUCACCGUCGUGACUGGGAUCGGGGCUUGCAAUUAUUCCCCGUGAACGAGGAAUUCCUAGUAAGUGC
rnacentral:rRNA from 1 species